CAGCGCAGGACGACUUCGCGUCGUAUAAAAUCCUAACGCGCGGUUUAUCACUGUUUUCUCCGAUAACAAAAAUCCAACAGAUGAGUGGCAAGGUGUUAAGAGAUUCGGAAGCUCGUCAGCGCUUUGGCGCCAGUCAGCGCUGGCAUGGGAACACUCAGGAUGUUUAAAGCCGCGGUCGUGCUGAUAACGCUCGGUUAUUGCAGCCUCCUGGUGUACCAAGGAAGUGUAAAUUUCAACUUCAUAGAAUCUCGACCGGGGUCAGUGCAAGCCGCUUUUACUUUAACUACCAGUGAACCAGUGACGGAUACUAAACUCCAAGGAAGUGGACAAAAUAAAAAUAUAACGUUAGAUGAUAUUUUUAUAAGUGUUAAAACAUCAAAACAUUUUCAUCAAACAAGAUUGCCGCAUAUACUGAACUCUUGGUACCUCUUGGCAAAAGAACAGACAUGGUUUUUCACCGACGGAGACAACGAUACCUUAAAAAAGCUAACAAAUGGCCACCUGAUAAACACCAACUGUUCGGAUACGCAUCAACGAGCACACCUUUGUUGUAAGACCUCAGUAGAAUAUGACUGGUUUUUGCAAAGUGGUAAAAAAUGGUGGUGUCAUUUCGAUGACGACAACUAUGUAAAUGUACCAAGGCUGUUAACAAAGCUUCAAGAGUUCGACCCUCAGGAAGAUUGGUAUCUGGGUCGUAUUUCCGUGGAUAAACCUGUCACACUGUUUAUAUUACCGAAGGAAACAAAGAAAAAACCUUCACUGAAAGGAUCACUAUGGUUCGGUACAUUUGGUGCUGGGGUUUGCAUAAGCAAGAGUUUGGCUCUAAAAAUGGUGCCUCUUGCAAGCGGAGGAAAGUUUAUAAGUAUGUGUAACUCGAUAAAACUUCCAGAUGACAUCACUAUGGGAUAUUUGAUAUCACAUCUAUUGGGUGUCAACAUGGUAGUGGUGCGGGAGUUCCAUUCGCACCUGGAGCAAAUGAAACUGUUACCACUUAAGAUUCUACGAGACCAGAUCUCAUUUGGUUAUUCAACUAAUAAUGUUCUCAACGUUCCUGGAUUUGACGAAACGUACGACCCUACUAGGUUCCUCUCGCUGCAUUGUUUCCUCUACCCUCACUUCGAGUUUUGUCCAAGAUAGCACCUGUUUGGAAUUCGCACAAAACAUUUUAGACUUGUUUACAUGAACUUCCAGUAUUUGUCAUAUUUCCGUAAAAAUUCUAUCUUUGAGAAAGAAUACUUGAAUGUUCAUAUUCAUCUUUUUUUUAUAAAUACGAUUCUUCCAAACCUUUAAUUUAGAUUGUGAUAUGCAUGUUUACAUGAAACGUCAAAUAUUAUUAAUUUAUUUUAUAAAAAAAGCUUUGUAAAGUGCCUUUGUAUAAAAUAACUGUUAAUAGAAUGUUUAUAUUUAAUGUUUAAUUGUCUAUAAUGAACAAUGAAAUCUGUGAUACUAGUGUAAAAUAUUAUAAGUGCUAUUUUAACGUUGUGGAGAGACCCAGUCAUGUUAAUUCGAAAACUAAGUUGAUUAUCAAAUAAACAAUUUACAAUUUUAAUUG